rnacentral:rRNA from 1 species
GUAGUUUGACUCCGUGGCUCAGAACGACGCUGGCGGCAUGCCUAACACAUGCAAGUCGAACGAAGGCUUCGGCCUUAGUGGCGCACGGGUGAGUAACACGUGGGAACCUGCCUUAUGGUUCGGGAUAACGUCUGGAAACGGACGCUAACACCGGAUGUGCCCUUCGGGGGAAAGUUUACGCCAUGAGAGGGGCCCGCGUCCGAUUAGGUAGUUGGUGGGGUAAUGGCCCACCAAGCCGACGAUCGGUAGCUGGUCUGAGAGGAUGAUCAGCCACACUGGGACUGAGACACGGCCCAGACUCCUACGGGAGGCAGCAGUGGGGAAUAUUGGACAAUGGGGGGCAACCCUGAUCCAGCAAUGCCGCGUGAGUGAUGAAGGCCUUAGGGUUGUAAAGCUCUUUCGCACGCGACGAUGAUGACGGUAGCGUGAGAAGAAGCCCCGGCUAACUUCGUG